AUUAGUUUACUAUUAGGGCAUGUUUGGCUCAUGACUGAAAUAAGAGUGAAAAAUAAAAUUAGAUUUAUUAGAAUGAAAAAUAGAAUGGCAAAUUAUCAAAAAAAUUUAGUUCAUUAUUAAAAUGAAAAUCAUAAUGAACAUUUAGGAUUUUAAAAGAGAUAACAGUACUAAAAAGUAAAAACAGAGGAGGGAGAAGUAUUUGUGAGCGAUGAUUUUGAGUAAUUUACUUUUAAAUGGGUCAAUCUGAAAUUUAAAGCUGAAUUGAACUAUAAUUGUAUUAGAUCAUUUAUAUUUUAGAGUGAAAUGAAAAUCGAAAAUUGAUUCCCACAAAACAAAUAACAACUAUCAAAAUCAAUAAAUCUUAUUUUGAUUUCAUAGUCUAAAAUAGAUAAACAGUUUCUAAAAAAUCUGAAAAUCUUUUAUCGCUUAGUUUAUUUUAUUUAGAAAUUAAAAAAAAAAUUAGCUAGAAAUGUGAAUCAAUUAAGAUUCGAACUUAAAAUCUCGGAUACCAACCACUAAACCUUUUGUCACUUACUCUAGAGACGGCCGGUGAAAAAAAAAAAAAAAAAUCUGAAGAUCAAAUCUAGUAAG
rnacentral:lncRNA from 1 species